rnacentral:ncRNA from 2 species
UAGCGUAUCGUCAGCGACGGUGUCGGGAACGCGGUGAGACGCGCGGGCGGGCCUCGAUGAGAGGGCUCCCCGGACGUCAAAUCCACGGCUGCCCCCGCAACUGUAGGCGGCGAGCGCUCGAGGCCUCGGCGAUGCCACUGGGUCCCCCGCAAGGGGCUCGGGAAGGCUGCCGAAAGCGCAACGACCCGCAAGCCAGGAGACCGGCCGUCGCGAUCGGUUCGAC